rnacentral:rRNA from 1 species
GACGAACGCUGGCGGUGUGCUUAACACAUGCAAGUCGAACGGAAAGGCCCUGCUUUUGUGGGGUACUCGAGUGGCGACCUGGUGAGUAACACGUUAGUAACCUGCCCUUGACUUUGGGAUUACUACAGGAAACUGGGGCUAAUACCGGAUAGGUGCUCCUGCUGCAUGGUGUGGGGUGGAAAGUUUCGGCGGUUGGGGAUAGACUCGCGGCUUAUCUGCUUGUUGGUGGGGUAGUGGCUUACCAAGGCUUUGACGGGUACCCGGCCUGAGUGGGUGGACGGGCACAAUGGGAAUGGGAUACGGCCCAGACUCCUCAGGGGGGCAGGAGGGGGGAAUAUUGCACAAAGGGCGGAAGCCUGAUGCAGGAACGACGGGGGCGGGAAGGCGGCCUUAGGGUUGUAAAAAGGUUCUUCCUGCGACGAAGCGUGAGUGACGGUAAUGGGUAAAGAAGCACCGGCUAACUACGUG